CAAAGGCCUGUCGCAAGCUGUUGAUUUUACCGGCUUGCGGCAAGUUGUCAACAAGUCGCGACAGGUCUGUUGGUUUCGUCAGGUGGUAACAGGCUUGCGGGAACAGGUCUGUCGCAAGCUGUUGACAACAGAGCCGUAGCGACUUGUUGAAACAACCCGCUACAAACCUGUUACUAACAAGAGAUAACAGGUCUGAUAGAACAACUUGCAGCAA